UUUAAAGAGAGUUUGAUCCUGGCUCAGGACGAACGCUGGCGGCGUGCCUAAUACAUGCAAGUCGAACGAACGGAGGAAGAGCUUGCUCUUCCAAAGUUAGUGGCGGACGGGUGAGUAACACGUGGGCAACCUGCCUGUAAGUUGGGGAUAACUCCGGGAA
rnacentral:rRNA from 1 species